rnacentral:rRNA from 1 species
AGCCUCAAGGGAUUAAUUUGAGGUUAAACCUGCCCAAUGCGAGAUAACUAAUAUGUUAAUGGCCGCGGUACUUUGACCGUGCUAAGGUAGCGCAAUCAAUUGGCUCUUAAUUGGAGUCAGGAAUGAAUGGAAUAACGUGGUUUAUCUGUCUCUAAUUUAAUUAAUUGAAAUUACUUUGUAAGUGAAAAAGCUUACAUAUAGAAAAAGGACGAGAAGACCCUAAGAAUUUCACUUAUUAUGAAUAUAAUCACUAUGGUUUAGUUGGGGCAACUUAAGAGCAAAAUUAAUUAUCAAUCUCUUUAACAUGUACUAGCCGAUUUUUUUAAAUUUGAAUAAAUUACCUUAGGGAUAACAGCAUUAUAUAGAAAAUAAGUUUGUGACCUCGAUGUUGGAUUAGGAAACUAAAAGGUUAACCCAUUUUUUUAGUAAAGCUCUGUUUCGAGCUAAGAACUCCC